rnacentral:rRNA from 1 species
UUGAACGCUGGCGGCAGGCCUCACACAUGCAAGUCUAGCGGAUGAAGGGAGCUUGCUCCUGGAUUCAGCGGCGGACGGGUGAGUAAUGCCUAGGAAUCUGCCUGGUAGUGGGGGAUAACGUCCGGAAACGGGCGCUAAUACCGCAUACGUCCUGAGGGAGAAAGUGGGGGAUCUUCGGACCUCACGCUAUCAGAUGAGCCUAGGUCGGAUUAGCUAGUUGGGGGGGUAAAGGCCUACCAAGGCGACGAUCCGUAACUGGUCUGAGAGGAUGAUCAGUCACACUGGAACUGAGACACGGUCCAGACUCCUACGGGAGGCAGCAGUGGGGAAUAUUGGACAAUGGGCGAAAGCCUGAUCCAGCCAUGCCGCGUGUGUGAAGAAGGUCUUCGGAUUGUAAAGCACUUUAAGUUGGGAGGAAGGGCAGUAAGUUAAUACCUUGCUGUUUUGACGUUACCAACAGAAUAAGCACCGGCUAACUUCGUG